GAAUUCAUCGUCUAAAGGGUAGGACAGCGAUCUUCUAAGCCGCUAGUGUAGGUUCAAAUCCUACUGGGUUCA